UACGUAGGGUGCGAGCGUUAAUCGGAAUUACUGGGCGUAAAGCGUGCGCAGGCGGUUCGUUGUGCCCGUCGUGAAAGCCCCGGGCUUAACCUGGGAACUGCGAUGGAAACUAGCGAGCUGGAGUGUGGCAGAGGGGGGUGGAAUUCCGCGUGUAGCAGUGAAAUGCGUAGAGAUGCGGAGGAACACCGAUGGCGAAGGCAGCCCCCUGGGCUAACACUGACGCUCAGGCACGAAAGCGUGGGGAGCAAACAGG
rnacentral:rRNA from 1 species